AGCUUCAACUCGAAGACGACCUCAACUUGAACACUUGGAAAAUUUUGAAGAUUUGGCGGGCUUUGCAGACUUCAACUCGAAGAUUCGGAGGGUUAAACAAUUCAACUUUAAGACCGACGAAUUUGAAGACUGAAACUUGAAGACCGACGAACUUGAAGACUUCAACUUUGAGACUUGGAGGGCCUAAAUAUUUCAACUUGAAGAUCGGCGAAUUUGAAUUUUUCAACUUGAAGAUCGACGGACUUGAAGACUUCAACUUUGAGACUUGGAGGGCCUAAAUAUUUCAACUUGAAGAUCGGCGAAUUUGAAGACUUCAACUUGAAGACCGACAGACUUGAAGACUUCAACUUUGAGACUUGGAGGGCCUAAAUAUUUCAACUUGAAGAUCGGCGAAUUUGAAUUUUUCAACUUGAAGAUCGACGGACUUGAAGACUUCAAUUUUGAGACUUGGAGGGCCUAAAUAUUUCAACUUGAAGAUCGGCGAAUUUGAAGACUUUAACUUGAAGACCGACAGACUUGAAGACUUCAACUUUGAGACUUGGAGGGCCUAAAUAUUUCAACUUGAAGAUCAGCGGAUUUGAAGACUUCAACUUGAAGACCGAUGGGGUUGAAGAUUUCAACUUGGGGACUUCACUUAGAGACUUCGAGGGCUUAAAUAUUUCAGAUUCUCUUUUGCUUUACAUUGUUUGACUUUUAUCUUAGUCACAUAAUUUUCAACUUUACGUGCUUAUAACAAA
rnacentral:lncRNA from 1 species